GGGCCCGCACAAGCGGAGGAACAUGUGGUUUAAUUCGAUGAUACGCGAGGAACCUUACCCGGGCUUGAAAUGCAGAGGAAUAACUUGGAAACAGGUUAGUCAGCAAUGACCUCUGUGUAGGUGCUGCAUGGUUGUCGUCAGCUCGUGCCGUGAGGUGUCGGCUUAAGUGCCAUAACGAGCGCAACCCUUGUCAUUAGUUACUAACAGGUUAAGCUGAGGACUCUAAUGAGACUGCCACCGUAAGGUGCGAGGAAGGUGGGGAUGACGUCAAAUCAGCACGGCCCUUACGUCCGGGGCGACACACGUGUUACAAUGGGGGGUACAGAAAGCAGCUACUUGGUGACAAGAUGCUAAUCUCCAAAACCUCUCUCAGUUCGGAUCGAAGUCUGCAACUCGACUUCGUGAAGCUGGAUUCGCUAGUAAUCGCGCAUCAGCCAUGGCGCGGUGAAUACGUUCCCGGGCCUU
rnacentral:rRNA from 1 species